rnacentral:rRNA from 1 species
GAUGAACGCUGGCGGCGCGCCUAACACAUGCAAGUCGAACGAUUAAAGCACCUUCGGGUGUGUAUAAAGUGGCGAACGGCUGAGUAACACGUGGGCAACCUGCCCCUCUCAUUGGGAUAGCCACGGGAAACCGUGGAUAAUACGGAAUACUUCGGGACUUCCUCAUGGAUGACUCGAGAAAGCUCCGGCGGAGAGGGAUGUGCCCGCGGCCUGUUAGCUUGUUGGUGGGGUAAUGGCCUACCAAGGCAAUGAUGGGUAGCUGGGUUGAGAGACCGACCAGCCAGAUUGGGACUGAGACACGGCCCAGACUCCUACGGGAGGCAGCAGUGGGGAAUCUUGCACAAUGGGCGAAAGCCUGAUGCAGCGACGCCGCGUGCGGGAUGAAGGCCUUCGGGUUGUAAACCGCUUUCAGCAGGGACGAGGCGAAAGUGACGGUACCUGCAGAAGAAGCCCCGGCUAACUACGUG